AAUAAGUACAGUUUUAUACUAUUCAUAUCUAAUGUUUGAUCAUCUUAUUUAAAAAAUUUUAUGAUUAAUAUUUUUAUUGUUAUUAGAUGAUAACACAUGAAUAUUACUUUAUGUGUGACUAAUUUUUUUGAAAAAAAAUAUAAAAUUUUCAAAUAAGAUGGACGGUCAAACGUUGGAUACGCAUACCAACGUUGUAUUUAUU
rnacentral:pre_miRNA from 1 species